rnacentral:siRNA from 1 species
AGAACUACAAGAUCUCCGAUCAU